CCUCUCUUAGCUUAAUGGUUAAAGCAGGCGGCCGUAAAGGAUAGUGGUUACCGCUUGAUGUUGGUUCGAUUCCAGCAGAGAAGA